AUACGGAGGAUCCAAGCGUUAUCCGGAAUCAUUGGGUUUAAAGGGUCCGUAGGCGGGUUUGUAAGUCGGUGGUGAAAUCUUGCAGCUCAACUGUAAAAUUGCCAUUGAUACUGGAUUUCUUGAAUUAGUGUGAAGUGAUUAGAAUGUGUAGUGUAGCGGUGAAAUGCAUAGAUAUUACACAGAAUACCAAUUGCGAAGGCAGAUCACUAACACUAUAUUGACGCUGAGGGACGAAAGCGUGGGGAGCGAACAGGAUUAGAAACCCCAGUAGUCC
rnacentral:rRNA from 1 species